rnacentral:rRNA from 1 species
UAGGGAAUCUUCCACAAUGGACGCAAGUCUGAUGGAGCAACGCCGCGUGAGUGAAGAAGGUUUUCGGACCGUAAAGCUCUGUUGUUGGUGAAGAAGGAUAGAGGUAGUAACUGGCCUUUAUUUGACGGUAAUCAACCAGAAAGUCACGGCUAACUACGUGCCAGCAGCCGCGGUAAUACGUAGGUGGCAAGCGUUGUCCGGAUUAUUGGGCGUAAAGCGAGCGCAGGCGGAAGAAUAAGUCUGAUGUGAAAGCCCUCGGCUUAACCGAGGAAUUGCAUCGGAAACUGUUUUCUUGAGUGCAGAAAGAGGAGAGUAGAACUCCAUGUGUAGCGGUGGAAUGCGUAGAUAUAUGGAAGAAUACCAGUGGCGAAGGCGGCUCUCUGGUCUGCAACUGACGCUGAGGCUCGAAAGCAUGGGUAGCGAACAGGAUUAGAUACCCUGGUAGUCCAUGCCGUAAAACGAUGAGUGCUAAGUGUUGGGAGGCUUCCGCCUCUCAGUGCUGCAGCUAACGCAUUAAGCACUCCGCCUGGGGGAGUACGACCGCAAGGUUGAAAC